rnacentral:rRNA from 1 species
GAUGAACGCUAGCUACAGGCUUAACACAUGCAAGUCGAGGGGCAGCAUGGUCUUAGCUUGCUAAGGCCGAUGGCGACCGGCGCACGGGUGAGUAACACGUAUCCAACCUGCCGUCUACUCUUGGACAGCCUUCUGAACGGAAGAUUAAUACAAGAUGGCAUCAUGAGUCCGCAUGUUCACAUGAUUAAAGGUAUUCCGGUAGACGAUGGGGAUGCGUUCCAUUAGAUAGUAGGCGGGGUAACGGCCCACCUAGUCUUCGAUGGAUAGGGGUUCUGAGAGGAAGGUCCCCCACAUUGGAACUGAGACACGGUCCAAACUCCUACGGGAGGCAGCAGUGAGGAACAUUGGUCAAUGGGCGAGAGCCUGAACCAGCCAAGUAGCGUGAAGGAUGACUGCCAUAUGGGUUGUAAACUUCUUUUAUAAAGGAAUAAAGUCGGGUAUGCAUACCCGUUUGCAUGUACUUUAUGAAUAAGGAUCGGCUAACUCCGUGCCAGCCGCCGCCGUGA